rnacentral:lncRNA from 1 species
AUAAUAUUGAUCAUGUACGAACAUGAUCUAAAAUUCUCCAAAGUUCAUGUGGCAUCUACCAAACGAUUCUCGAACAUUCCCAUCCCAAUGGAACACCCCCAUGCCGUCCAUUAUCUUUCAUAAACACUUUGGAAUUUUGCCUGCAUGGGGAGAAAAAAAUUAACAUCUCAGAAUAUGACUGUUGGAAUUGCAUUCAAACAGGGAUUAAGAGGGAGAAGAAAAAAAAUGCAGGCUUAACAAAAUAUGCCUCUCCAUUGCAUACAUUUUAAUUCAACAGAUGGGUUACACCUUCUAUGUUGAUUCCCACCAUUAAACCUUGCAAGCUUUGAAAUUUUGGCCCUUAUGCACACAUUGGUCUGCCUACAACAGGCUGAAAUUCUAACAAUAAUUUGAAGAUAGGGGUAGUGCGCACAAUGACGCUUAUUGACCAGUGGAAGUAGAAAGGAAAGAUUUGCCAUGCAAUUGCAUCUGCUACAAGAUAUUCUAUCCUAUUUUAGAUUAGGAGAAUUGUACCAUUGAAUUUUAACUAUUUUAAAUUAGAAACAAAUUAGGGGCCAACAAAACAUGAGCAUUGUACCAUUGAAGUUAUCAUAUCUAGGAUUUUAGAAAAUAGCAUUGUACCAUUGUAGAGAAAUGGUGCUUAUGGACGAGAAGGAACAGUUUAGGAAAUCAUUGAAUUGUCAGACUAUAUUAAAUUCGAAAUAUGAAAGAAAUAAACCAUGGGCUCACCAGAAUACAAGGCGGAGCUUAUCUAGUUAAAGUUUUUUUUGACAUAAAUUAUCUAGUUUAAGUUAAGACUGGCGUUUCUUUUCCAACUGCAAAAUUGCAAAUACGAAGCUCUUUGGUGUAUAUUUAUCGUGCAUUUACCGUUCUUUUCUCUCUCCAUGCAGGCAAAAUUCCAAAGGCUCUGUUUACUCUCCCGUCAUUGGAAGUGCUGGAUCUAUCAUCAAAUGAACUUCACGGACCUCUAGAAGACAUUCCAAAUCUUUUGUCUUCCUUUCUGAACUAUAUUAACUUGAGAAGUAACAAUUUUACAGGCCAUAUACCCAAAUCUUUCUAUGAUCUUACGAAACUUGGAUACCUCUGGCUUGACUCGAAUCACUUUGAUGGCACAUUUGACCUUAGCAUUCUUUGGAAGUUAAAGAUGUUGGAGUCAUUAAGUCUCUCCAAUAAUAUGUUAUCAGUGAUAGAUGAUGAGGAUGGCUAUCGUCAAUUGCCUUACCUCCCUAACAUCAGAACACUAAGGCUAGCAUCUUGCAACGUUACGAAAAUUCCAGGUGUGUUAAGGUAUACAAAUAAGUUGUGGAUCUUGGACCUUUCGAACAACCGAAUAAAUGGAGUCAUACCAAGUUGGAUUUGGGUGAACUGGAAGGAUAGUAUGUAUUCGUUGAAGCUCUCAAACAAUAUGUUCACUAGCCUCGAAAACUUCCCAUCCUUUAUUCCUAUGUACAAUUUAGAGAGACUACAACUUAGUUCCAACAGACUUCAUGGUAAUGUACCAAUACCACUUACAUCUAACUUGUUUGGUGCUUCUGUAUUAGAUUACUCAAACAAUAGUUUCUCUUCUAUUUUACCUGACUUUGGUCGGUAUCUUCCAAACACCACUUAUCUUAAUUUGUCCAAGAAUAAAUUGUACGGUCAGAUACCAUGGUCUAUU